rnacentral:tRNA from 1 species
AGGGUAAUAUUUUAAUCAAAAAAAUUCAUAUCUUGCACUUAUGAGAUGCAAUAGCUUUCCCUA